GAUGAACGCUGACAGAAUGCUUAACACAUGCAAGUCUUUGGCGAAGCUGUGCUUGCACAGCCUAGCCAAGGCGGACGGGUGAGUAACGCGUAAGGAACUUGCCCUGCAGUCAGGGAUAACAGACGGAAACGACUGAUAAGACCUGGUAAAGUCAGGCGGACUCAUGUCCAGCCUGAUGAAAAGAGAUGCUGCAGGAGAGCCUUGCGUCCUAUUAGCUUGUUGGUGGGGUAACGGCCCACCAAGGCGAUGAUAGGUAGCCGGCCUGAGAGGGUGGACGGCCACAAGGGGACUGAGAUACGGCCCUUACUCCUACGGGAGGCAGCAGUGGGGAAUAUUGGACAAUGGGGGCAACCCUGAUCCAGCAAUUCUGUGUGCACGAUGAAGGUUUUCGGAUUGUAAAGUGCUUUCAGCAGGAAAGAAAAAAAUGACGGUACCUGCAGAAGAAGCGACGGCUAAAUACGUG
rnacentral:rRNA from 1 species